rnacentral:lncRNA from 1 species
UGGAGUGGAAUUGAGCUGAGAGGAAGUCUUUUAAGCAUAGAAACCAGCUGGGGGUAGCUAAAAUCUGAGGUAAGGAUUGGUAAAUUCCUGGUUUGAGUAGGUUAAUUGAUCUAGAAAGGAUCUAAAUUACAAAUUUUGGAUGUUAGAACUUGCUACUAGCAUGUAAUUCUAUGAGGAAACCUAAUAGAACAAUAUGAAUUCAGCUAGAAGCUGAAACUUGAGAUUAGAUGAGGUAAAUUCCUGGUUAGAGUGAUGUUGUUUACUCUAUAAAGAGGUUAAAAAAUAAAAUUCUUGGUGGUUAGAACUUGGAGCUACCAUGAGAUCUAGAGAGAAACUAUAUAUUGGAUGUUAUAUAAGAACCUUGGUGGUAUAGGACAGCACACAUGAAAUUCCUGAUUAGAGAUGAUGUAUGGGAUAAACUUAGGCUAUUACUUGUUAUAAUUUAUGUUUAAUCAGCCUAAGGAAAGCUUGGUUGAGAGCUUAAUAGUUUCCAAAGCUUGGAAUUGCCAUGAAAGCAACCUAAAGUAAGCUAAUUGUUGUGUGUAUAUAUGUAUGUAGUAAACAACUGGGUAGAUUAUAGUUCUAAUUUCGGAUUAGGGAUCAUUGUAUUUAACCUAGAGAAAAGGUUUAGUCUGUAAUUUCUGGGUUACUAGCACUUGAAUUACCAUGGAACCUAGUAGAAAAGCUAUAUGCGUUUUAUGCAAUUUGUAUAGAAUCAGGCUAUGUGAAACUUAAGCUUCAAAAUGCACUUUUGUAGGAUUGGAGGCCUAGUUUGAAAUUGGUCGCUUGAAACCCUAAUUGGGGAUAAAACUAACGCAUUGGAAAGCUCAAAUCGGCGUUCCGAUGAGCCUACGGCAAGCUAGUGAGGAAAAAUCUCAUUUUAGCUUCGUUUGUCGCGAGCGAGGGUCGUGAUUGUUUAGAAAUCGCGAGAAGUAGUUUUCUCGCUUCUCGGCAUUAUUUAAAGGUGGGUGGUGCUUUCCGAAGUCAUCGAAUGACAUAUUAUGUUUAUGUCAAUUUUAUUGAGCAUACAUGGAUUAUACAUAUUUAGUUGAUAUUCAUACAUAAUAGGGUUGUGAUUGUCAUAUGGUAAAGUGUAAUAUGUGUUCUAUUUGUAUGAUUUGGAAGCAAAGUACAGUUGGACAAUGGUUAGUAAAUAUAGAACUCUAUAGGUGUAUGAACUUGUGUUUGACUAUGAAAUAGUUGACAAAGUAACAUUGUGAAUAGAUUGCAUGAGUGGCACCUAGUAUUGUGAAUGUCAAACAAGGAGAAUGAACUGGUAAAAUGUGUGGCAUUAGAACUAGAUGAACUUAUUAGCAUCUGGAGUUGGACAUGUAAAUCUAGCAUAAAGAGCUAGUUAAAGUGUGGCAUUAUCAGUGCAUCCUCUAAGGGAGGAUUAGAUCAUACUCACAUUAGUCUAAUGCUCGAGAUAAGGUCGCUCCUCCUUGGGCGAUGAGCUCUGGAGUGUGUCAUCAACUGGGUUGAUCGUAUAAGCCUUCCUAGUAGACGGUCCCGUCGGGAGGCAGCUUACGGCCCGACAAAAGGGAUUGAGUUGGUGAGUUAUAGUUAACCAAAUGGUUAACCAGAUUGAUUGAGUAAUGAUUAUUAAUAGCAUGCACGCAUAACUUUCAUCUGUUAUAUAUAUUGUUCCUUUCAGCUUUGUACAGGCAUUGUAGUAGUUACAUGUUAUAAUUGAUUACUAUCUGUUCUUUUCUUUACCUACAUAUGCAUAAAUAAACCUAGUGGGUGAAUCGGUAAGGUCGGCAGCCGAACCCACUGGAAACUUUCAAUAGUUCUCACCCCACUAACCAUGCAGGUUCUUGUUCGUGCGGGGUGGUUGAGGAUCGUGACUUGGACAGCGCUCCAUAAAUAGCUGACAUCUAUUGAGUAUAGUUGUACCUUGUACAUUUCAUCUAUUUAUAGUUGAUGAAAGCAAAUGUAAAUUGUUUAUUUGAGAGAUGGCAAUGUAUCUAUGUUAAAGAAUGUAUUAAAGAAUAUGUGUAAGUAGAUGGUAAGCUUUGUAUUUGAUUUAAAGUAAUCAAGAUACAAUGUAGGAAUGUUUUAGUUAUUUACUUUCACUUGUUUGUGUUGCUUACCCUCGUGUAGGCCAUGUAUAUUGAAAUUUUUUCUU